UACAGAGGGGGCAAGCGUUGUUCGGAAUUACUGGGCGUAAAGCGUGCGUAGACGGUCAUGUAAGUCGGAUGUGAAAGCCCCGGGCUCAACCUGGGAAUUGCAUUCGAGACUGCAUGGCUUGGGUGCGGAAGAGGGAAGCGGAAUUUCCGGUGUAGCGGUGAAAUGCGUAGAUAUCGGAAGGAACACCAGUGGCGAAAGCGGCUUCCUGGUCCGACACCGACGUUCAGGCACGAAAGCGUGGGGAGCAAACAGG
rnacentral:rRNA from 1 species